rnacentral:rRNA from 1 species
GACGAACGCUGGCGGCGUGCUUAACACAUGCAAGUCGAGCGGAAAGGCCCUUUGGGGUACUCGAGCGGCGAACGGGUGAGUAACACGUGAGUAAUCUGCCCUGCACUUUGGGAUAACUGCCGGAAACGGUUGCUAAUACCGGAUAUGACUCCUUGCCGCAUGGUGGGGGGUGGAAAGUUUUUUCGGUUCGGGAUGUGCUCGCGGCCUAUCAGCUUGAUGGUGGGGUAAUGGCCUACCAUGGCUUCGACGGGUAGCCGGCCUGAGAGGGUGACCGGCCACACUGGGACUGAGACACGGCCCAGACUCCUACGGGAGGCAGCAGUGGGGAAUAUUGGACAAUGGGCGGAAGCCUGAUCCAGCAACGCCGCGUGAGGGAUGACGGCCUUCGGGUUGUAAACCUCUUUCACCUGUGACGAAGUCUCUGCUUUUUGGUGGGGGUGACGGUAGCGGGAGAAGAAGCACCGGCCAACUACGUGCCAGCCGCCGCAGUAAAAC